AUGGCCGAGCCCUCCAGGGUGAUCCACAUCCGGAACGUCGGGCAUGAGAUCUCCGAGACUGACCUGCUCCAGGUGGUGCAGCCGUUUGGCGCGGUCGCCAAGCUCGUCAUGCUGCGCACCAAGAACCAGGCCCUUGUCCAGAUGGAGGACCUGUCUGCUUCAAUCAGCGCCAUCCAAUACUACACUACAAUUCAACCUAGCGUGAGGGGAAGAAACGUAUACUUGCAGUACUCAUCUCACCAGGAACUGACUACUGAUCAGAGCUCUCAUGGACGGAAUCCUGAUCAGGAUGAACCCAACCGAAUUCUCUUAGUUACCGUUCAUCAUAUGCUCUAUCCUAUGACCGUCGAAGUGCUUCAUCAAGUGUUUUCCCCUUAUGGAUUUGUGGAGAAGAUUGUCACAUUUCAAAAGACUGCUGGUUUUCAAGCCCUUAUACAGUUUCAGUCACGCCAGAGUGCAAUACAAGCAGCUGGUGCUUUGCAUGGACGGAACAUUUAUGAUGGUUGCUGCCAGCUAGAUAUUCAGUACUCAAAUCUCAGCGAGUUGCAAGUUCACUACAACAAUGAUAGAUCUAGAGAUUUCACAAAUCCUUCUUUGCCCACAGAGCAACGUCCAAGAUCCUCUCAGCUUGGUUAUAAUGAUCCUAGCCUUUUUGGUUUCCAACAGCCUGGAGCUGCAUAUGGACAGGCUGCAGUGAUUGCUGCUGCAUUUGGCGGAACAUUGCCUCCUGGAGUGACUGGUACCAAUGAUCGCUGUACACUUAUAGUUAGCAACUUGAACAGUGAUAAAAUCGAUGCGGAUAAGCUCUUCAAUCUAUUUUCUAUUUAUGGAAAUAUAGUGAGAAUCAAGGUACUCCGCAACAAACCAGACCAUGCCCUUGUCCAGAUGGCUGAUGGGCUUCAGGCUGAGCUUGCUAUACACUAUUUAAAGGGAGCAAUGUUACUUGGACAGAAACUGGAAGUGAACUUCUCUAAGUACCCGAGUAUUACCCCCGCUCCUGAUGCACAUGACUACUCAACCUCCAAUCUUAACCGGUUCAACAGUAAUGUGGCGAAGAACUACCGCCAUUGCUGUGCUCCGACCAAGAUCAUCCACAUCUCAGCGCUUUCACCAGAGAUUUCUGAGGACGCAAUCCUUGAACACCUAGGUGAGCAUGGCACCAUCAUCAAGUCAAAGCUGUUUGAGGCGAGCGGCAAGACGCAGGCUCUUGUGCAGUUUGAGAGCGAGGAAGAGGCGACCGAAGCGCUGGUCUGUAAGCAUGCGAGCAAGCUCGAGGGAUCCACCAUUAGGAUUUCUUUCUCCCAGAUGCAUAACAUAUAG
rnacentral:rRNA from 1 species